rnacentral:miRNA from 1 species
UGCAUAUUUUGUUAAGAAGAUAUUAAUAAAAGUUGUUCGUCUUGAUAAGGGCUACAACUUUGCUUAAUAUCUUUUUAACAAAUUAUGCAUAUUUAAGGAAAUACGUUUGCGCAUGCGCAAGAGCGUAACUCCUUACGCUUGCAUAUUUUGUUAGGAAGAUAUUAAUAAAAGUUGUUCGUCUUGAUGAGGGCUACAACUUUGCUUAAUAUCUUUUUAACAAAUUAUGCG